GCCCGUGUAGCUCAGUGGGAGAGCGCCCCGUUCACACCGGGGAGGUUCGCAGGUUCGACCCCUGCCGCGGGCA
rnacentral:tRNA from 1 species